AUUGAACGCUGGCGGCAGGCCUAACACAUGCAAGUCGAACGGUAACAGGAAGAAGCUUGCUUCUUUGCUGACGAGUGGCGGGCGGGUGUGUAAUGUCUGGGAAACUGCCUGAUGGAGGGGGAUAACUACUGGAAACGGUAGCUAAUACCGCAUAACGUCGCAAGACCAAAGAGGGGGACCUUCGGGCCUCUUGCCAUCGGAUGUGCCCAGAUGGCAUUAGCUAGUAGGUGGGGUAACGGCUCACCUAGGCGACGAUCCCUAGCUGGUCUGAGAGGAUGACCAGCCACACUGGAACUGAGACACGGUCCAGACUCCUACGGGAGGCAGCAGUGGGGAAUCUUGCACAAUGGGCGAAAGCCUGAUGCAGCAACGCCGCGUGUAUGAAGAAGGCCUUCGGGUUGUAAAGUACUUUUAGCGGGGAGGAAGGGAGUAAAGUUAAUCCCUUCACUCAUUGACGUUACCCGAAGAAGAAGCCCCGGCUAACUACGUG
rnacentral:rRNA from 1 species